CACGUAUUUAGCCGGAGCUUCUUUUUUCAGGUACCGUCACUUUUCUUCCCUGCUGAUAGAGCUUUACAUAACGAAUUACUUCUUCACUCACGCGGCGUCGCUGCAUCAGAGUUCCCUCCAUUGUGCAAUAUUCCCCACUGCUGCCUCCCGUAGGAGUCUGGGCCGUGUCUCAGUCCCAAUGUGGCCGUCCACCCUCUCAGGCCGGCUACUGAUCGUUGCCUUGGUGUGCUUUUACCACUCCAACUAGCUAAUCAGACGCGGGUCCAUCUCAUACCAGAUUUCUUCCUUUUCACACAAAAACAUGCGUCCUCGUGCGCUUAUGCGGUUUACCACCACGUUUCCCGACUGCUACUCCCCCUGUAUGAGGCAGGUUGCCCACGCGUACUCACCCGUCCGCCACAAGAUAGUUCUCUUUCACCUACGAAAGCUUCAAGCAAUACUACUCCGUU
rnacentral:rRNA from 1 species